rnacentral:tRNA from 1 species
GGUGGCUCAGUGGUAGAGUGCUUGCCUAGCAUGCAUGAGGCCCUGGGUUCGAUUCCCUGGCACCA